GGCCUUAUAGCUCAGUGGUAGAGCAUACGAUUGCAGCUUGUGCUUGCCUCAGUCGCUGAUAUCGUGUUGUCCCGUGUUCGAACCACGGUGGGGCCU
rnacentral:tRNA from 1 species